UGAUGUCCUCAAUAAUGUUUGUAUAACUGCUAUAUUUACUUCUUUUUUACUUCUCUGGUAUGAUCGGCAGAGCGUAGAAUAACUGGGAUUUUGACAUAUGUAUUAUUUGCGAUGAGAGCUACAAGUGAACCUUUUCUGUAUUUGUUUCCAGAUUUAGAAAUCAUAUUAGUCAAGUAGCUAGGUUACUUACAUUCUUCCAAGCAUGAACAUUCUGAGUUUGAUUAUCGUGUUAACAUUUUGUUUUUCCGUGUAGAUAUCUGACACCAAGAGGGUGAAUAGUCUUGUGAGUGACAGCCAGAUAUGGACGCACAAUAUGCCUGUGUCUUUGGCUGAGUUUUGCGUGUGAGCCACAUGUAGGUGCACAAUAUGCCCACGGCUUCGACUGCUUACCUCUGCCCUCGCCGCCGUCGUCGUGUCAUGCUGCUCGGCCGUGGACGAACAUGACUACUCGUGUGAUGGCAGCGAGUUCACCGUGCCACAACCACAGGGGUGGUGAUGUCUCAUCCUCGGCUGCAAUUGCCCUCUGGGACUGAAUUUGUUUUGAGGGAAGAAAGUCAGGGGAAAAUGUAAUUUGAUGUGGUCAUCAAUGGUCAUUACCAACUCUCAAUCAACAGAACAUGUUACACGCGGCAUGGCUUGCCUCUAGCUCCUUCGGUCCGGUGUGGCCAACCCAUUCCUGCUCUGGUGGUCCUGCUGCAGAGAGGUCUAGCUGCUUGGCCCAAAGCCCAACCAUAGCUAUCUCGCCGCCACCAUUCAGAACACGUUGACAUUGGCACCAGAAGAUAUCUGACACCAAGAGGGUGGAAAGUCUUGUGAGUGACAGCCAGAUAUAGAUGUACACAAUGCCCUCGGCCUCGACUGCUUACCUCCGCCCUUGCUCCCGUACUCCCAUCCCGCUGCUCAGCCGUGGACGGACAUGACUACUGGUGUGAUGGUGGUGGUUCACCGUGCCACAACCAGGGGGCGGUGAUGUCUCGACCAUGGAUCCAAUUUCCCUCUGGUUCAACUUGGAGAAUGUGUGGACCGACCAAUGUGGCAUGGACGGUCGAUAAGGACAGGGUCGUUGCCAUCGUCAAUGACCUGCUUACUAAGACAGAAUGACCCAAGGAUCAAUCUCAGCAUUGAUCGCUAAGCAGUGGAAGAAUUGGAGCAACGGGAAGCAAAGGGAGAAGGUGAACAACACGGUGUUGUUCUACCAAGCCACCCACGACAAGCUCAUUGCCGAGUUUCCCAAGUACAAGCUGAUCACGCCCUUUGUCCUCUCGAAGCGCUUCUGGGUUCAAAGCAAUAUCGGUGUGCAGGCCACAGAUUCCAGUGGGGUGGAUGCUAUGCUUGGCUUUCCAACCGGCUUCUACUGCCUCCUUUCCUCUUGCCGCUGUGCGGCCGCGGUGGUGGUGAUGACAUUCUCAGCCUCGGCAACACCCCACUCCUGUGAGCUCUUCAGGUGCUAUGUAGUAUGUACUCCUGCCAUCCGAGGGCUGUCUAGUGUCAACUAUCGCAAGAAGAAGUGUAUCCACAAUAAUUAGGUGAACAGUCUGGUACUUCUACAUGGAGUACUUGCAACGGCAAGUGUCAGGUACACUUCCAUGCUCUUCUACAACAAUGCCUUUCUGCUUGUCCUCCGCUGCUCCAGCCCUGGCACCGGUGCGUGCUCGAGAACCUCAUAUCUUCUGUGGUCUACUCCUCUUCUAGGACACGUUGAAAUGUGGUGGUCCUUGGGUAUAUCAAGAAGUGGAUUCCGGUCCUUGGGUGUGUCGAGAAUUCCUGUGGCAAUGGCAAUGGCGUCCACCCCUGUGAUGUUGUCCUUCUCGCAGGUAAAGUCCCUCCUCUUCCUCUUCUUAGAUCCGACUUUAGAGUUUUUUCAAGUUCCCGGUUUAGAAUGGAGCAACCGAAUGCACAGUGAUGCAUUCAAGAAAUCAAGUGUAUUUUAUGCUGAGGUAUUGAAAGAUUUAGUGCGUGUGGUUUUAAGUGUUAGAUUGCGAGCUUGAUCUGGUAGAGAUUGGAUGAUUGCAUAAGAGUUGCAGGAGUUUGCAUUGAUAGAUGCAGC